rnacentral:rRNA from 1 species
CUCUGGCGUCGAGCGGCGGACGGGUGAGUAAUGCUUGGGAAUAUGCCUUAUGGUGGGGGACAACAGUUGGAAACGACUGCUAAUACCGCAUGAUGUCUACGGACCAAAGUGGGGGACCUUCGGGCCUCACGCCAUAAGAUUAGCCCAAGUGGGAUUAGCUAGUUGGUGAGGUAAUGGCUCACCAAGGCGACGAUCCCUAGCUGGUUUGAGAGGAUGAUCAGCCACACUGGGACUGAGACACGGCCCAGACUCCUACGGGAGGCAGCAGUGGGGAAUAUUGCACAAUGGGCGCAAGCCUGAUGCAGCCAUGCCGCGUGUGUGAAGAAGGCCUUCGGGUUGUAAAGCACUUUCAGUAAGGAGGAAAGGUUAAGUGUUAAUAGCACUUAGCUGUGACGUUACUUACAGAAGAAGCACCGGCUAACUCCGUGCCAGCAGCCGCGGUAAUACGGAGGGUGCGAGCGUUAAUCGGAAUUACUGGGCGUAAAGCGUACGCAGGCGGUUUGUUAAGCGAGAUGUGAAAGCCCCGGGCUCAACCUGGGAACUGCAUUUCGAACUGGCAAACUAGAGUGUGAUAGAGGGUGGUAGAAUUUCAGGUGUAG